UUUNNAAGUAAAAAAUCGUAACAAGGUCUCCGUUGGUGAACCAGCGGAGGGAUCAUUACCGAGUUAUACAACUCAUCAACCCUGUGAACAUACCUAAAACGUUGCUUCGGCGGGAACAGACGGCCCUGUAACAACGGGCCGCCCCCGCCAGAGGACCCCUAACUCUGUUUUUAUAAUGUUUUUCUGAGUAAACAAGCAAAUAAAUUAAAACUUUCAACAACGGAUCUCUUGGCUCUGGCAUCGAUGAAGAACGCAGCGAAAUGCGAUAAGUAAUGUGAAUUGCAGAAUUCAGUGAAUCAUCGAAUCUUUGAACGCACAUUGCGCCCGCCAGUAUUCUGGCGGGCAUGCCUGUUCGAGCGUCAUUACAACCCUCAGGCCCCCGGGCCUGGCGUUGGGGAUCGGCGGAAGCCCCCUGUGGGCACACGCCGUCCCUCAAAUACAGUGGCGGUCCCGCCGCAGCUUCCAUUGCGUAGUAGCUAACACCUCGCAACUGGAGAGCGGCGCGGCCAUGCCGUAAAACACCCAACUUCUGAAUGUUGACCUCGAAUCAGGUAGGAAUACCCGCUGAACUUAAGCAUAUCAUAANNCCG
rnacentral:misc_RNA from 1 species